CAGAUCCUGAUCCACAAGUGCACCAGUCAUAUAGUAUUAGUACAAACCCUGUGAUACAUCUAAUUCGGUAGGUCACUUUCAAAGAACAGAGUACUUGAAUGCAGCUACGACAAUUGGAACAAUACCGUCGUUAUCUGUGAAAUAGAUAUUUCGAACUGGUCAACUAAAUCAUGAUGGCGUCCUUAACGGAUUCGAAGGGUCGACUUGAAUUUCUCCAUCUGGAUCUUUUGUCCAAUAGCUUUCUUGUAAGCAUCAAUCCUAAUCUGAAACUAGAGCCCAAAAUUUGAAAAAAAUGGUAAAAAAAUAGAGAGUAGCCCUAUUCCAGGGCUUCUAGAGAAAAAUAAUGAGGGGUGUCACGGGGUAUGACUAUAAAGAUCUUGUAGAGGAGAAACAGGCGCUUCUUUUGCGUAAGAUAUCGAAGGGCGCUAUGUUCAAAAACUAGAGCCACAAAAUUUGAAAAAAAAUGGUAAAAAAAUAGGGGCGUCGGCCUAUUCCGGGGCUUCUAGAGAAAAAUAAUGAGGGGUGUCACGGGGUAUGACUAUAUAGGUCUUGUAGAAGAGAAACAGGCGCUUCUUUUGCGCAAGGUAUCGAAGGACGCUAUGUUCAAAAAUCUGAAACUAGAGCCCAAAAUUUGAAAAAAAAUAUGUAAAAAAAUGGGGCAUCCUAUUCCAGGGCUUCUAGAGAAAAAUAAUGAGGGGUGUCACGGGAUAUGACUAUAUAGGUCUUGUAGAGAAGAAACAGGCGCUUCUUUUGCGCAAGGUAUCAAAGGGCGCUAUGUUCAAAAAUCUGAAACUAGAGCUCAAAAUUUGAAAAAAAAGGUAAAAAAUAGGGGAGUCGGCCUAUUCCAGGGCUUCUAGAGAAAAAAUAAUGAGGGGUGUCACGGGGUAUGACUAUAUAGGUCUUGUAGAAGAAAACAGGCGCUUCUUUUGCGCAAGGUAUCAAAGGGCGCUAUGUUCAAAAAUCUGAAACUAGAGCUCAAAAUUUGAAAAAAAUGGUAAAAAAAAAAGGGGGUCGGCCUAUUCCAGGGCUUCUAGAGAAAAAUAAUGAGGGGUGUCACGGGGUAUGACUAUAUAGGUCUUGUAGAGAGAAACAGGCGCUUCUUUUGCGCAAGGUAUCAAAGGGCGCUAUGUUCAAAAAUCUGAAACUAGAGCCCAAAAUUUGAAAAAAAAAUGGUAAAAAAAUAGGGGGGGGGGGGGUCGCCUAUUCCAGGGCUUCUAGAGAAAAAUAAUGAAGGGUGUCACGGGGUAUGACUAUAUAGGUCUUGUAGAAGAGAAACAGGCGCUUCUUUUGCGCAAGGUAUGAAAGGGCGCUAUGUUCAAAAAUCUGAAACUAGAGCUCAAAAUUUGAAAAAAAAUGGUAAAAAAUAGGGGG
rnacentral:lncRNA from 1 species